rnacentral:rRNA from 1 species
AGAGUUUGAUCCUGGCUCAGGAUGAACGCUGGCGGCGUGCUUAACACAUGCAAGUCGAACGCACCUUCGGGUGAGUGGCGGACGGGUGAGUAACGCGUGGGAAUCUGCCCUUAGGAGGGGGACAACGGCUGGAAACGGCCGCUAAUACCCCAUAUGCCGAGAGGUGAAACGAAUUUCGCCUGAGGAUGAGCCCGCGUCUGAUUAGCUAGUUGGUGGGGUAAGAGCCCACCAAGGCGACGAUCAGUAGCUGGUCUGAGAGGAUGAUCAGCCACACUGGGACUGAGACACGGCCCAGACUCCUACGGGAGGCAGCAGUGGGGAAUUUUCCGCAAUGGGCGAAAGCCUGACGGAGCAACGCCGCGUGAGGGAUGAAGGCCUCUGGGCUGUAAACCUCUUUUCUCAAGGAAGAAGACAUGACGGUACUUGAGGAAUAAGCCACGGCUAAUUCCGUGCCAGCAGCCGCGGUAAUACGGGAGUGGCAAGCGUUAUCCGGAAUUAUUGGGCGUAAAGCGUCCGCAGGCGGCUCUGUAAGUCUGUUGUUAAAGCGUGGAGCUCAACUCCAUUUCAGCAAUGGAAACUACAGGGCUUGAGUGUGGUAGGGGCAGAGGGAAUUCCCGGUGUAGCGGUGAAAUGCGUAGAUAUCGGGAAGAACACCAGUGGCGAAGGCGCUCUGCUGGGCCAUAACUGACGCUCAUGGACGAAAGCCAGGGGAGCGAAAGGGAUUAGAUACCCCUGUAGUCCUGGCCGUAAACGAUGAACACUAGGUGUCGGGGGAAUCGACCCCCUCGGUGUCGUAGCCAACGCGUUAAGUGUUCCGCCUGGGGAGUACGCACGCAAGUGUGAAACUCAAAGGAAUUGACGGGGGCCCGCACAAGCGGUGGAGUAUGUGGUUUAAUUCGAUGCAACGCGAAGAACCUUACCAGGGUUUGACAUCCUGCGAAUCCCUUGGAAACUUGGGAGUGCCUUCGGGAGCGCAGAGACAGGUGGUGCAUGGCUGUCGUCAGCUCGUGUCGUGAGAUGUUGGGUUAAGUCCCGCAACGAGCGCAACCCACGUCUUUAGUUGCCAGCAUUCAGUUGGGCACUCUAGAGAGACCGCCGGUGAUAAACCGGAGGAAGGUGUGGAUGACGUCAAGUCAUCAUGCCCCUUACAUCCUGGGCUACACACGUACUACAAUGCUACGGACAGAGGGCAGCAAGCUCGCAAGAGUUAGCAAAUCCCAUAAACCGUGGCUCAGUUCAGAUCGUAGGCUGCAACUCGCCUACGUGAAGGAGGAAUCGCUAGUAAUCGCAGGUCAGCAUACUGCGGUGAAUACGUUCCCGGGCCUUGUACACACCGCCCGUCACACCAUGGAAGUUGGCCAUGCCCGAAGUCGUUACUCCAACCCUUGUGGAGGAGGACGCCGAAGGUGGGGCUGAUGACUGGGGUGAAGUCGUAACAAGGUA